UUUGUUCAUGCUACUUCCCAUCCCAUAAUUUAUUUCCUUUCAAGCUGCUCCUUCCUUAAAGUCUCACAUCUACUUUGCCAGUUUCCUUUCCUUUUAUCCCACAAUAUAACUCGAACUUCCUUUUUGCUGGUAACCUGUGGAUGUGCUUGCAUGUUAGCUCUAGCAGAUGGGGUUUGAGAUUUUGGAGCUCGAAGAAAUAAUUUUGAAAAAUGUUGCAGAUAGAAGAAGAAUGCGUCAAUUGUACUGCCUGCACAAAUACAUUGAUCGAUCGUCCUUGAGUCUUCAGUUUUUGACAAAUAAAUUAAGUCAGAUGCGUUGAGUUAUUGCUGUACAGCUACCACUGGCAUUCCUAGCCUGUGGCGCCGAGCAUGUCAUUAUUGCUGUCAUCCGGUAAUCCAGCCCUUUUAUCCGGAGAAUUCGUUGGUGAUUGUGAAU
rnacentral:lncRNA from 1 species